CUUCCACCCUUUGAAAACUUUGUUCUUUGGUUCUUUGCAAUAAAUGUUGCUGCUGCUCACUCUUCGGGUCUGCACUGGCUUUAUGAGCUGUAACACUCACUGCGAAGGUCUGCAGCUUCACUCCUGGAGCCAGUGAGACCCCGAGCCCACCGGGAGGACCGAAGAACUUCAGAUGCGCCGCGUUAAGAGCUGUAACACUCACCGCGAAGGUCUGCAGCUUCACUCCUGAGCCAGCGAGACCACGAACCCACCAGAAGGAAGAAACUCGGAACACAUCCGAAUAUCAGUAGGAACAAACUCCGGACACGCCGCUUUUAAGAACUGUAACACUCACCUCGAGGGUCCGCGGCUUCAUUCUUGAAGUCAGGGAGACCAAGAACCCCCCAAUUCCGGACACAGGGGGACUUGGCUGCUUCCUGUUUCUAUCAUAGACGCAGCUGGCCUCAGAAUAUUCCACUUAUGGAUGAAAGAAUGAUAGUGUUAUUUUAUGGAAGAAUUUAAGAAGAUGUUGCGGUAUCAUCGACUUUGUAAGUGUGAAGUGUUUUUACUAUUCCACUCACAAUUCAGUUCAGGAAAUAUUUGAUUUAGAAAGAGAUUUACUACAAUUUGCUGGGUUUUCCCAAAUAACCCUCUUGACAAUUAUUAAUAUCUUAGGCUUAGCAACUCACUCAAAUAGACUAAAAUAGACUGAAUAUUUGCUUAGGCCUUCUUAACAUAUUUCAGACAUAUUUUUCUCUUCUUGGUCUUCCUCAGUAACAUCUGGUGAUC
rnacentral:lncRNA from 1 species